rnacentral:rRNA from 1 species
GACGAACGCUGGCGGCGUGCUUAACACAUGCAAGUCGAACGGAAAGUCCCUGCUUUUGUGGGGUGCUCGAGGUGCGAACGGGUGAGUAACACGUGAGUAACCUGCCCUUUACUUUGGGAUAACUUCAUGCAGCUGAGGCUAAUACCGGAUAGGAGCUCCUGCUGAAUGGUGGGGGUUGGAAGGUUUCGGCGGUUGGUGAUGGACUCGCGGCUUAUCGGCUCGUUGGUGGGGUAGUGGAUUACCAAGGCUUUGACGGGUAGCCGGCCUGAGAGGGUGACCGGCCAAACUGGGACUGAGAUACGGCCCAGACUCCUACGGGAGGCAGCAGUGGGGAAUAGUGCACAAUGGGCGGGAGCCUGAUGCAGCAACGCCGCGUGGGGGAUGACGGCCUUCGGGUUGUAAACCGCUUUCGCCUGUGACGAAGCGUGAGUGACGGUAAUGGGUAAAGAAGCACCGGCUAACUCCGUG